rnacentral:rRNA from 1 species
UGAGAAAUGUAUCGGAACGUACCUUUCAGUGGGGGAUAACGUAGCGAAAGUUACGCUAAUACCGCAUAUUCUGUGAGCAGGAAAGCAGGGGAUCGCAAGACCUUGCGCUGAUUGAGCGGCCGAUAUCAGAUUAGCUAGUUGGUGAGGUAAAGGCUCACCAAGGCGACGAUCUGUAGCGGGUCCGAGAGGAUGAUCCGCCACACUGGAACUGAGACACGGUCCAGACUCCUACGGGAGGCAGCAGUGGGGAAUUUUGGACAAUGGGGGCAACCCUGAUCCAGCCAUGCCGCGUGAGUGAAGAAGGCCUUCGGGUUGUAAAGCUCUUUCGGCCGGGAAGAAAUCGCAUGGGUUAAUACCCUGUGCGGAUGACGGUACCGGCAUAAGAAGCACCGGCUAACUACGUGCCAGCAGCCGCGGUAAUACGUAGGGUGCGAGCGUUAAUCGGAAUUACUGGGCGUAAAGCGUGCGCAGGCGGUUUUUUAAGACAGGCGUGAAAUCCCCGGGCUCAACCUGGGAACUGCGCUUGUGACUGGAAGGCUAGAGUAUGGCAGAGGGGGGUGGAAUUCCACGUGUAGCAGUGAAAUGCGUAGAGAUGUGGAGGAACACCAAUGGCGAAGGCAGCCCCCUGGGCCAAUACUGACGCUCAUGCACGAAAGCGUGGGUAGCAAACAGGAUUAGAUACCCUGGUAGUCCACGCCCUAAACGAUGUCAACUAGGUGUUGGGUGGGUAAAACCAUUUAGUACCGGAGCUAACGCGUGGAGUUGACCGCCUGGGGAGUACGGCCGCAAGGUUAAAACUCAAAGGAAUUGACGGGGACCCGCACAAGCGGUGGAUGAUGUGGAUUAAUUCGAUGCAACGCGAAAAACCUUACCUACCCUUGACAUGUCCAGGAGCCUGAAGAGAUUUGGGUGUGCCCGAAAGGGAACUGGAACACAGGUGCUGCAUGGCUGUCGUCAGCUCGUGUCGUGAGAUGUUGGGUUAAGUCCCGCAACGAGCGCAACCCUUGUCGUUAAUUGCCAUCAUUUAGUUGGGCACUUUAACGAGACUGCCGGUGACAAACCGGAGGAAGGUGGGGAUGACGUCAAGUCCUCAUGGCCCUUAUGGGUAGGGCUUCACACGUCAUACAAUGGUCGGUACAAAGGGUUGCCAAGCCGCGAGGUGGAGCCAAUCCCAGAAAGCCGAUCGUAGUCCGGAUCGCAGGCUGCAACUCGCCUGCGUGAAGUCGGAAUCGCUAGUAAUCGUGGAUCAGCAUGUCACGGUGAAUACGUUCCCGGGUCUUGUACACACCGCCCGUCACACCAUGGGAGCGGGUUCCGCCAGAAGUAGGUAGCCUAACCGC